AUGGGAGAAGAGGAAUGCCGAGAUCACACCGGAAAAUUCCUGGGUUCGUCGGCUAUGGUUUUUGAUCACAUUACAGAUCCGGCUACCUUGGAAGCUCUUGCAUGUAGAGAAGCUUUGUCUUUGGCACUCGAUUUAUCUUUGGAUCGAUGUGUAAUCGUUUCCGACUGCAAACCAGUGGUGGAGGAGAUACAGCAAGGCUCGGAUGGGAGAUAUGGGAUGAUCAUAAAGGAAAUUGUCACCAGGGUAAGAGAAUUCACUAGCUGCCAGUUUGUAUAUGAAAACCGGGCAAUGAACGGAGAUGCUCAUAAUUUGGCCAAAUUUUCAUCUUCUUUAGUACAGGGGCGCUAUUUGUGGCUGGGUGUACCCCAUGACCCUUUUAUAAUUUCUGUAAACCUGGCCGCUGAAUAA
rnacentral:rRNA from 1 species